AAGAAUCUACUCUGCAUCCUGAUUAGCUCAAUCAGCUCAAUAGCUCGUGUCUGCUUAUGACCCUCAUGCACCAUGAAGAAUAAUUCGUUCACUCACCUUCAAAAUUCAGCACCAAUGAGAACAUAGGCAAAGUGUUUGGGAAGCCAUCUUGAGAACAGUGCUUAAGUGAAAAGGCCUUUAGCAGAAACUGCUAGAACAAUCAUCUUUUCAAACACCAGUAUGAGGAAAACUAACGCUAAAAACUGUAAAACAUCUAUAUAUUGCCCACCAAAGUAAAGGUAUGGAGAGAAUGAUUAUUUUUAACAAGGUUAGCACACCAACGAUGGUGGUUUUUAAGGAUAUGCUUGAGCGGGUUUCAGCCAUUCUUAAACAGUAAUUGGCAAGAACAGAGCUAAAAUUAGGAACCAUCAAAGGAAUGCCAGACAUUGCUCUUUCUGGGGACAUGCCACAAUCUGUCAAUCUAGCCUAGUCUCCAGAUAAACAAUAGAUAUGGUGACCUUCGAGUGGCAAAACAGAUACCAUGUCAUAUGUUGCUUGGACUAAAUAUUUAUGUUUAUGUUGUAAUAUAGUAAUGCUAGCUCUUUCAACUUCAAAUGCAGAAAUAACUGUAUACAUUGGUCACUCAUAAUUUCCAAAGACAUGAUCACAAUACAUCAGAAGAUGAUACAAAGACAUCUCACUCAAUUUCUCUGCUUUACUCUUUCUGUACCACGAAUCCCGUGAUGUUCUGUCCAUCCAUUCCUGUCCCCUGGUCUCUUAAUAAUUAAUUUGAGCCAUUCUCUUUCAUGGCACUUGGCCAUUUUCUCUUACUUGCUAAUAAGUUUUCAACCAUGGAGGUAAAAUAAUGCAAAUUGUGAUAAAUCUAUUGAACAAAUGUGAUGUAACUACGCUCGUGGCAGACAACCCAUCUUGUGAUUUAAUUUUUUUUCAAGUGCCUGUACAUAGUAGGAGACUGAAAGGAUCUUCGAUGGGCUCUCACAGGACUGUGGAGCUUGUUUUGAAUAUUCGAAUUUUUCCACCUUUUCUUUAAUGGGAUGUAUUUCUUCAUAUUAAAAAUGCAAAUCAUGCAAGUGAUUCUUCUGUUUUUUUAAAAAGACCGCUGUACCCAUGACCUCUCUCGAGAUAAAAUUGAGGUUUUGGUUUCAUUCCCAACAUCUCUGAACAGCAAGUCUUAGAGUCCCACUGUUUCUGUUCAUUCUCCUGUUCCACUCUAGCCAAGCCUGAGGUGGUUUCUGCAGCCAGCUGAGAGGUGGGAGCAGAUUGGAUGAUGAAUCUAAAUGAUUGGAUGGUGUGAUUUCUCCUGCCCUGUUCGAAGGUGUAGGCCUGUGGAACAUCAGCAGCGCAGCCGUCAGAUAACAAAUGUUUAGCUUGAAUGCCAACUUCUCCUUUUGUCCCUCUAGAAGCCUUGGCGAGAUACAAAUGCUUCAAUUCUUAACCAAAAGCUUUGUGUCUGUCUCCGAUUGCCUUGCUUCUAUGGGGACCCCUCUCCUUCUAGAGGUCCUGAUCAUGUUUCUAUCAUCUGUGAAGUCUUUACUUGCCAGGGACCAGGACCAGCCUCGAUUGAAGGUGGGGUCUGGAGAAGGGUGGAUGCAAGAACAUCGAAAGGAAGGAAGGAUCACACAUAGGACAUCAUUUGCUUCAUGAGAGACAGGACUGUAAGAAGCAUAAGUAUAGCAAAGAGUGUGCAGCGAGUAUCUGUCAGCGACAGUGAAGGGUCAGUCCAGAUUGUUCAAGCACUGGAACUUUGUCAAACAGCGCCCUCAGGACACUUGGCAUCACCAUAGAUCCUCUUUCACGUCUUUGUGACUUCAAAACCAUUCUAAAGCUAUUCAGAGGUCUACCAUUUACAUUUUCGCAAAAUGUUCCUUGCUUGUGUGCCUGGUGAAAGUGUUCUUAUCUGCACGUCCCACACUCUAAAUAUUCCUUGCAAGCUCUCUCACUACCGCAACCCCAUCUGCAUGCCCUCCUUUGGGCUUCAAUGGCAUCUACUUUGAGAUCACAGUAUUAAGAAGGUCUUGACUUAUCCAGACCCAUGCAGAUCUUUAGUCUGAGGAGUGAUGCCUCGGGCUCCAGACUCCAGGUAUUCCUAAUUGCUUACUCCUUGGUUAAAUUAUAUCCAGUGAAUUACAAUUGCUGUCUGUGUUUAUGUUGGGUAGCAUUGUUGAUUUUUUUUUAAUUCAGUUCAAAUUUUAUCUAGACUGUAUACCUCCAAAGGUUUGAAAAAAAAGUUGUAUGAAUUCUAAUUACAGCCCAUUCACUGAAAAUAAGUGGAAAAUUAAUUUAACUGCUAUUCGCAAGCUCUUUGACAGAUUUUCUCUAAAAAAAAAAAAAAAAAAAAAAAAAAAAAAGGCUAUUUCUGCAGUUAGCUGAGAAAGCACCACAGGAAGAAACCUUCUCUUUUAACUAAAACUUUUCCUAGAGAUUAAUGUCACUAGGAAAUGUUCCCUUUUCUUUAACUUCUAACUAGGCUACCACUUUGGGGGUAAAAUAUUAUCAUAAACAUGGAAAGUAUGAUUAGGAAGUAAGACCAUUUCCUUUAAAACGUAUCUAAAAGAACAUAUCAUAUUGUUACUGAGA
rnacentral:lncRNA from 1 species